rnacentral:rRNA from 1 species
CCUACGGGUGGCAGCAGUGAGGAAUAUUGGUCAAUGGGCGCGAGCCUGAACCAACCAAGUCGCGUGAGGGAAGACGGUCCUAUGGAUUGUAAACCUCUUUUGUCGGGGAGCAAAAGACGCCACGCGUGGCGUUCCGCGAGUACCCGAAGAAAAAGCAUCGGCUAACUCCGUGCCAGCAGCCGCGGUAAUACGGAGGAUGCGAGCGUUAUCCGGAUUUAUUGGGUUUAAAGGGUGCGCAGGCGGAAGAUCAAGUCAGCGGUAAAAUUGAGAGGCUCAACCUCUUCGAGCCGUUGAAACUGGUUGUCUUGAGUGAGUGAGAAGUAUGCGGAAUGCGUGGUGUAGCGGUGAAAUGCAUAGAUAUCACGCAGAACUCCGAUUGCGAAGGCAGCAUACCGGCGCGCAACUGACGCUCAUGCACGAAAGUGUGGGUAUCGAACAGGAUUAGAUACCCUGGUAGUC